GAGGAAUAUUGGUCAAUGGACGAGAGUCUGAACCAGCCAAGUCGCGUGAAGGAAGACGGUUCUAUGAAUUGUAAACUUCUUUUGUGCAGGAAUAAAGUGGGUUACGUGUAGCCUUUUGUAUGUACUGUACGAAUAAGGAUCGGCUAACUCCGUGCCAGCAGCCGCGGUAAUACGGAGGAUCCGAGCGUUAUCCGGAUUUAUUGGGUUUAAAGGGUGCGUAGGUGGAUUGAUAAGUCAGCGGUGAAAGUUUGCAGCUUAACUGUAAAAUUGCCGUUGAAACUGUCGGUCUUGAGUGCAAAUGAGGUAGGCGGAAUGUGUUGUGUAGCGGUGAAAUGCUUAGAUAUAACACAGAACUCCGAUUGCGAAGGCAGCUUACUGGGAUGCAACUGACACUGAUGCACGAAAGCGUGGGUAUCAAAC
rnacentral:rRNA from 1 species